ensembl:lncRNA
AUAUACAGUAUAUUUCAUUGGAUCACCAGCCAAUCAGCAUUGUCUUGACAUCAUUUUUUUAGUCCCAUGGCUGAGGUAACAAGCUCAAAAACACCCGGCGGCAGAACUGAGCACCCAUGAGCAUCUUUACUUCCGGGGGGUCCCACAACAGCUGAACAUCUGUCAUAGACAUGGAUGGGAAUGCUAACAGAUCCUCUCCUGUGGCCUCAUGGGAUAGUAAAGUGUCCAUCGGAUGCACACUUCAGAAUCUCACCAGAAGUAGCAGGACGUAUCACUGUGUUCGAAAUGGCAGGCGACUCCGAGGAUACAAGCUUGUGCUUUUCUUACUGGCUUGUCUCAGGAAAUCGGCCUUAUCAGUCUUGCCCAAGCUGCAAUACAGCAGAAUAAUUUUACAGCUGGCUGAGAAAGCCUUGGCGACCCUGGAUUGUGUGCUGUGCAGGCAAAAUUUAACCUUGGUGUCCCUUAUCAAAUUAGAACUGCCUUUUGUUUACCACCAGCUGACAGAAAGCUAUAUUUGUGACGGGCCUUUUUCUCUGAGUGAGGCCAAGUGGCAGCAGAGACGCUGAUGGAUAAUUUAUGAUUUAUGUAUGUGUGCAAACGCACCGCUAUUUGUACAGUGCUGACAUGAAACCAGGCUCUAGAGACCAUGAGAAUAUGUUUGAUAAAUAAAGUAUGUUAUACUAAAGGUAUGAGCGCUAUAUGCUGGUGAUUUUUUGAUCACUGACAGAUCAGCACCAUUCUGAUAGUGUGCAGACG